GACGAACGCUGGCGGCGUGCUUAACACAUGCAAGUCGAACGGAAGGACCUGCUUUUGGGGGGUGUGCGGGUGGCGAACGGGGGAGGAACAACUGAGUAAUCACCCACUUACUUUGGGGUAACAUCAGGGAAAAGGGGCUGAUAACGGAGAAGGACUUCUUGAACCGGGUGGGGGUUGGGAAAUUUCGGCGGUUGGGGUUGGACUUGCGGCUUAUCGGGUUGCUUGUGGGGGAGUGGAUUACAAAGGCUUUGACGGGUAGCCCGCCUUAGAGGGUGACCGGCCUCAUUGGGACUGCGAGACGGCCCAGACUCCUACGGGCGGCAGCAGUGGGGAAUAUUGCACAAUGGGCGGACGCCUGAUGCAGCAACGCCGCGUGCGGGAUGACGGCCUUCGGGUUGUAAACCGCUUUCGCCUGUGACGAAGCGUGAGUGACGGUAAUGGGUAAAGAAGCACCGGCUAACUACGUG
rnacentral:rRNA from 1 species